UAACCUGCCCAAGAGAUCGGGAUAACACCUGGAAACAGAUGCUAAUACCGGAUAACAACAGAUGAUGCCUAUCAACUGUUUAAAAGAUGGUUCUGCUAUCACUCUUGGAUGGACCUGCGGUGCAUUAGCUAGUUGGUAGGGUAACGGCCUACCAAGGCGAUGAUGCAUAGCCGAGUUGAGAGACUGAUCGGCCACAUUGGGACUGAGACACGGCCCAAACUCCUACGGGAGUCAGCAGCU
rnacentral:rRNA from 1 species